UACGUAGGGAGCAAGCGUUGUCCGGAAUUACUGGGCGUAAAGGGUGCGUAGGCGGUUAGCCAAGUCAGAUGUGAAAUCCCCGGGCUUAACUCGGGUGGUGCAUUUGAAACUGGUUGACUUGAGUGCAGGAGAGGAAAGUGGAAUUCCUAGUGUAGCGGUGAAAUGCGUAGAUAUUAGGAGGAAUACCAGUGGCGAAGGCGACUUUCUGGACUGUAACUGACACUGAGGCACGAAAGCGUGGGGAGCAAACAGG
rnacentral:rRNA from 1 species